rnacentral:lncRNA from 1 species
UUCUUCCUGCCUGCCACGGUCAUGAUUGAGAGGCAAUGGGUGGCGAGCCUACAGGGGACGUCGUCGAGGAGACAUGGGAUAACUUUAAGGGAGCAGGCUGGUUGUAAGGCGGUGGGACUGGGUGAGGGAGACUCCCCCCUUCUUCAGAGGGAGGCAGUACAGGGGAAGCUGAACCGGCUGAGGGUGGAGGCGAAAACGCGGUCUGGCUUAGGAGGACCUUGGAGACAGACAAGGGGAGUGGUUCCUGUGAUGGGAUCAGUCAGAUGCCUGCCUGGCCGCUCCCCCUGAGGGGACUUGGGCUCCUCUUAGCAUUGGCAGGCCGGUAUAAACUUCCGGCUCAGAUCGAGCUAUGCCUGAUGCUGCCUUAAGCCUUAUGAGGUCGCCAAGGAACCGCAGAAACUCCUGGAGGGCAGAGCUGUGUCUGCCAUCUUCAUCAUUGCAUUACCACCACCCAGCACAGUGCCUGGCACAAAAGAGUUGCUCAAUAAAUAAAUCCGGAUGAAUGGAUAAAUACAUGGAUAGGCACUUUGAACUACAGAUGAGUUUAAAUACUUUGUGUUUUUCUUAGUCAAACAUGUGCAAUUAAGCAUGUGAUAAAUGAUAUGAUGACCACA